rnacentral:sRNA from 1 species
UUCCCGAGUGCUAGGAUUAAAGGAAUGCACUAUCAUGUCCAGCUAGUCUCAGCUCUUUAGUCUUCAGUUCUGGGCAUCUGAACGCAGGCCCUUCAGCUUGCACAACAGGCCCUUUACCAACUAAGCCAUCUCCCCAGCCCAGAGUUCUUGUGGAUAGAGGGGAAUAUCUGUUUGCCAUCAGCUAAUUGUUCCUGCUUGGGAAUGCGUCUAAAGUGACAUUGGUUCAGGACAAUGGAUGGAAGUCUUCUGUUGCCUUUUUAGAGUCUGAUCCAGAACACUGUAGAAGAUGCCAAGUAAACGCCUUGGUACUCUUUGGUCCUCUUCAGUCUUGAAGGGGAUUGAGACAGUUUAGAUAUUGCCAGUUGCUCCUCAAGUGACUGGUUAUGUCCACAUGGAGUUAAGCAAGAGUGUGACCUCAAGUAAAGGAGACAGACAUCAAAUAAAGGCAGAGAUGGCUUUUCCCCCACCUUAGUUACCUGCAGGAAUAAGCAAAGAGUCAGUGCUUUUCAGCAGAGGCAGCUCCUGAAUGCCUGUUAUGCAAUCGGAGGGAAUAGAAACAGUAUCUAAAUAUGAGGGAAGACAAAAGAUGUCACAUGACCCAGAUACCUCACUCUUAAUGCCAGGAUAAUUUUUGGAGCCCUAUUUCAGAAGGUAGAGAAGCAAAGACAGAAGACAGAUCUUUGGCUAAGUGGUUCCCAAAAGGUGUUAAGUGGGCUGCAGGGAGGGUGUCAGCAGACCCAGCCUUCCAGGGCAUUCUUUGGAAAUUCUGCCUAGCAGAGAGUCAACAGCCUUAGGACAAUAAUCCCAGUGCUUGAGGUUUUGCUGCUGUGACAGACACAGCCUCUUCACUGUCCAGCCACCAGCUACACACUGACCAUAACUACUUAGCCCUUAAAUUGUUUGUGCAACCUGAAUUUUCAUUUUCCUCUCUAAUAUGCACAAAGCUUCUUCAGAGAUCUUGCAAGACUGUUUGCCUUUGGCUUGCUAGAACAUUGUGGUGGAAUUGCAUUGAAUUGUGAGUCAAAAUCACCUUAGACUAUUUAAGCCCUUUACCUCACCUUUUGUAUUUGACCUUGUGCUAGAUAGAUUUAUGGAAAUGAGGCACCUUAGGGGACCACCUCUGGGUGCCAGCAACACUAGAGCUACAAAUGUUACAUCCGAAGCCUGAGACACUCAGCUUUCCUGUAAUCCAAAAGCAUGCACCCAUGUAACUGGUUAAUAUCUUGAUGUGACUUUUUGAUGCUGUUGUUCUAAGUCAUGUAAUCUUUUUCAUUGUGGACCAUGUCAUUGCACGGUAACCUGGAUCUCUCUUCCUCAAGUCACGAUCACUCGUACUAAGCUGGGAACAAACUUCUUCUCCUUCUCCUUCAUCUUUUCCUUUUGCCCUUAAAGUAGAAGUGUCAUCUCCCGUGGACACAUCUGACGUCUUUUAAUUUAUAAGUUAAAUAUUUCAGGGUUAGGAUGUAGCUCAGUGGUAGUCAGCUUUCAUGAGGCCCAAGGCUCUGACCCAGCGCAGAAGAGGGAAAUCGGGGGAGGAGAGAAGCAGGGGAGGAGAGGAAGGAAAGCAGGGGAGAAGAGAAACCAGCCAGCCACAGUUCCAGUGCAAGAUACAAGAUUAUUUUCCAGGUACAAAAUGUUCUCAUACCACUUCAAAAAUUACAAGGGGGAAUUGAAAGGCCUGGCUUAGGGAACAGUGAACAUCGUGGCCUGUUUUGUUUUGUUUGAGUCCCCCUCAGCAUUGUCUCUGAAGUGAAUUCUUGAGUGUUCUGGCAAGUUCUCAGACAUAACAUCAGAGAGGGCGCCUCUGGAGCAAAACACAGGUCGCUUGCCACGGAGAUGUGGGUGCCUCAAGAGCUUUGAUUUCAUCCUGAUGUCCCGCCUGACGCUGCUGUGGGAAGUCGGACAAACAGUUCUGAGAUGAAGGAAAACAGAAAGAAAAGGAAACAGACAAGCCCCAAGUAAGGAGAUGAGGAUGCAGAGUUGGGGCGAGCAGGGCGGGGCGGAGCAGCAUCCUCCGUUGCUGGCUUUUCCUGCCCAGCCCUGAGCAACCCCUCCCUGUCUCUGCGCUCAGCUAUAUUUGCCAGCUCCAUCCCUUCUUUCCUCCGGUGAAAGCCUGUAAUUACAGACACCAGGUGCGGCGGCUCUCUCGCCUCUCCGGUGACUUCGUCAGUCAGAGCUGUGAAUAGUAAUUUGCCAACCACCAUCGAAGUUUCCUUUCAAAAGCAGGAUACGCUGGGUGUCAUGUUACAUCACUCAGAAGCCUGAGACAAUAGAAGAGGAAAUAGAAUUUACCCGGGUAACAAAGGAGUCUGCAGCUCAUUUUUCUUUCGCCCUGGUUAGGGGAGGACUGAAUGCUGCCUCUAAGCGGACAGCGGCAGUCCAGAAGCAGGGAAGGAAGGGAGGGGCUCAAGGCAGAAGAAGCAUGGGCACUGGGUGCUGCCGUGCCUCGAGUCCGGUGUGUGCUAUUUGUUCCAACGCCAAACUGGAGUGAAGCAACCUCGCACAGGUUAAAAGUCUGUCAUAUUCUGGACAAGGCUGAAGAUGCUCCAAUGAGAGCAGGAGAGAAACUUUGGGGGAAACCAACCAUCUGUCCUGGAAGCUGCAGUUCCUGCAAACACAGGUAACAUUUAUUCCUUCUCAUGUCUCUAAUUGAAUUGAAAACUAGAGAGGUGUAGUCUCACAUUAAGCUUAAGUUGUUUAAGAUUUAGGAAAAUGUUUUAAGGUCUAAUAAGAUGGUUUUAGGUUGGUAAUGCAAGUUGAUUUAAGCCCAGAACUCUGAACUCACUAAGAUCAGAUAGACGAUAGAAUACUUUCUCCAAGGUUGCCAAAUAUGUAUGGACUGGACAUUGUGAAUGCAGUCUUACCUGAUAGUUUUUGUAGUUGUUAUUGCCAUUAAGUUUAUUAUUGAAAGAAAAAGCACCUUUUACUGGACAAAAAGGGGGAAAUGGAGCAUCUUUUGUUCUGCAUGGAAGCAUUACCGGUCAGUAAAAUGCUUGUUAUCCAGUGAGCUGAGCGGGGGAAUCGGAAGUGGGAAGUUCCAGUAGGAAGAGCAACUCUGGGAUAGCCAGGCCUGGGAAGAGAUUCGCCCCAAACGCUGAGGAGAAAGACACAUGAAACUGAGAACAGGUAACUAGCCACUGGCACUCACAGAGCAGAAUAAACAGGUUAAGAGCUAGUCAGAGAACAAGCCCAAGCUUAUGGUCCAAGCAAUCAUUCAUAUUUAAGUCUGAGAGUCAUUAUUUCAGACAAUCAAACUUAUGGUCAUAUUAGAUCCUAGUCUAGUUUACUACACUAAGUUUUCAAAGUUGAACAGAUAUUAAGGAGCUAGAAACAAGCAAUGGGGCAUGGGUGGAAAAAGGCCACAGUUACGGCUAACUUUUUCUCCCUGGAUGCUCAACACUGGCCCCCUCCAUCAUGAGCAUUUCCAGCAAAAGUUAGCCAUUCCACACAGCUGUAGCAUCACUGUUAUGGUAGUGCACACCAUUAAUUCUAACACUUAGGGAGGCAGAGGUAGGCAGACCUCUGAGUUCAAGGCCAGCCUGAUCUAAAUAGUUCUGGGCCAGACAGGGUUAUCUAGUGAAAAACCUUGUCUAAAACAAACAAACAAACAAACAACAACAAAACCCAUAAAUUAAAUAGCACAGAGGGGACAGACAGUAUCCUUGGCACACAGAAGACCAAUCUCUCAGGAUCUGCGCUUGUAGCAUGCCUUGAGCUCCCAUGUGAUCUGCUUUGACCAAUGAAAUGAUCCAGAAAGGGGUAUGUACCAUCAAGAGCAAAUAUCUGUAACAUUCUAGGGUUUGAGUAAGACAGGUACAUUCUGGGAAAAACCAGAUGUGUGUGGUCAGGGCAGAAGAGAGAGGAAGGUGAGCUUAGUCAGCCGCAGGAACCGAACAUUAGAGGUUUCGUAGAGGAACACAGGGAUGACUCGGGGACAGAGUACGUGUAUUAGAGGACUUUAAUCUUCUGGUCCUCUUGCUUCCCUACCCUAAGUGCUAACUAAGAUUAUGAGUGUGCCCUCAUCCCAGCCAAGAAGAAUCAAGGGAGGGUGCAGGAUUCCCUGGGUAAAAGUUUACCUUUCAAUGGGAACUUUCCAACCUAGUAUUCAUUUCAAACUGUUCUUUAAACCUUCAGGUCAUUCCAUUUUGCUGGUCAGGUACAGAUUACUGCUUUAGGGAGUGUAGUGAAAGAGGGACAGCUAUAAUUUUCUUAGAAGCUUCAACUGCUUCCAUAAUGGAACCAAGUGAUAGAUGACAACUGAGGUCACUCAUCCCUUCCUUCUGCCUCGGUCCCCGGAGGAGCUGGUAAAGCCACAGGCGGCUGAGGAGGCUAACACCAAGUGGUAACAAGAAAGCAAUCACUAUACCGUAAAGCGAAUGGAUGACUUAUGGGGCCUACUUCAGUUGCUCUUUAACUUCAGAAAGCAGCAUUUUCUCAACCUAAAACCUGUAAAACUGUAAAAAAAUUUAAACUGUAAAACAACCGUCUUCUAGCCUUUGUCAUUGUAUCUGUCUAAUCUUACGACCGUCUUCUCGCACACGUCUUUACUUCACAUGCCCUUUCUUUGCCAGCCAACAGGAAAAUGUCAACUUCAUUCAAUAACUUCAAGGUGCAGAGCACAAUCAUUUCCCCCAUGAACAACAAUUUUUAUGCCUGAACAAAUGUUUAAACAAAAAUGUUUGACAUUCAGCCCAGGAAAUCAGAAUAUAAGCAGUUUCAACAGAGCCAACCUUGUAAUCUUUAAAACCCAACACUCCAUUCUUAGCUCACUCUGGGGACUUGCUCCCCACAAGUCCCUUUGUAAAACCCCAACUGUCCCAGGUUGAAGCCUUUUGCCAAUACUAUGGUCCAGUAAGGCGCUAAAUUCGUCUGGUCUCCAAGCAAGCCUUUCUGAAGGUCAAGGUGACUGAACUGACUUUGAACAAGAACAUGAGCACAUGUAACACACUUCAAACUGGCCAGCUCUAGCGCCUACGGCUUGCAAAAGUCAAGAGCGAACACAGGGCAAAAAGACCCUAGUGGUGUGUAAGGAUGCAGAUAUGAUUCCAGAAUUCUCCCAGUUCUCAUGGAAGUCCUAACGCAGAGUGAAGUCUGAGUGUGCGUGAAUAUAAACUGAACACGAGGGACGGUGGAAGGAGGAAAAGAAUUCUGACUCUAGGCUGCAAGUAAACAUUUAAAAAGAAUGCCAAGUCCAUUUCCUUUCGGUGAGGCAAGCAAAAGCAGUCUAGUGCACCCAGGAACUGCUGAGGCUGGUUUUAUUCUAAGGAUCCCUGCAGGCAGGUGCCUGAAGAAAGGCAGAAGGGGUGGGCCUUACAUCAACUACACUGAUAUUUACUUAUUUGCCUCAUGAUGAAUUUUAAAGAACCACUUCCUAUAAGCCUGGACAAUACUGUAUCUACGAUGUUCACCCCAAAUGCCAAAAAUGUGUAGUUAUGUUUCUAAGAAAUGUUCUGGAAACUGUUAGUUUAAAAAGGUUUCCGCUGCCAGGUAGUGGUGGUACUGGGGAAGCAGAGGCAGGGAAAUCUCUAUAAGUUCGAGGACAGCUUGGUCUUCAGUGCAAGUUCCAGGACAGCCAGGGCUACACAAAGAAACUAAAAUAGUUUCGACAGUUCUUGGUAGUUAAGAGUUAAGUAAUUAAAAAGAACUAUGUCCUUAGUAUAAUAAUCAAUGAAUAUUUCAAAAAAAUAUUUUGUUAUAUAGAAUUGAAAGUACAUUCAAGACUGUUUCAUACACAGAGCAGAUACCCCGGAACGGUAUAUACACGUACAAGACACAUAAUGGGAGAAUCUCUCUGAACAACAAAAGCCACAAACUGGCAACCACCUUUUUUUAAAAUUCUACAAAAUUUUGCCAGUCAUUACCAAGACAAACAUAAUAGUAAAAUACAAAUUAAAAAAAUUUUUUUGAAGUAAUCAGAUGGCCACUGUCUAAAUUUUUCAUCAAGAAUAAAAGCUGAAUUUAAAGAAUUAUCUUCACAGAUUUUUCAAAGCCUGGACUCCCUACACUGAUACAAUACUAAGAAAAAAAAAGGAAUGUUCUACUCAUCUGUUAUGUAUUUCAAAACAGAUCUUUUAAAAAUAAUAUAGUUAUAUGAAUGGGAAAAACAAGUGACUUCUAGAUAUGGUGGAGAAAGUUAACCAUAAAUAAAAGGGAGCGCAUAGGUAGAGGCGUGGGCAGGGACAUCUGGGAGGGUCCACAGUGGACGUGACCAGGCUGAGCUGGACCGUGUGUGGGUGUGGGGAUAGGGAACCAGGUGCAGCAACUGAGAUGACGAAGGUAUUAAAGGGACAGGUAACCAAAAUGUCUGGAUUACAUAGGGAAGAGUUCCUGGUGGAAGGAAGGGCAGCCUGCUCUGGGUAGAGGGCAGGGUAUGGCAGCCAUACUCUGUAGGGCUGAAGAACGGUAGAAUGGGAGGACAGGUGCACUUGCAUGUUAAAUAGGCACCUAAGGCACUUGGGUUACCAGACUUGCCUAAGUACCUUUACCUGAUGACCCGUCUUUUUGACCCCAAAAUUAGUUAUCUUCCUAUCCUCAGCUUACUGUCGACGUAGAACUUUGCCCUCAACAGUUCACCAUCUUCUUUCCAUCAACACUGAUCGAGAGCUAAGCAGUACGUUGACUUUACAUACCACAGCAUGUAAACUUAGUACUGCCUAUUAGCAAUGCCAUCCUUGCAAAAUUGCCCAUACAUGUACCUGUACAUAGAUAUGUAUGUGUGUUUUUUUCUUUAAACCUCUCACACAUUCUAAGGGCACACAUAUAAGAUAUGGUGAGAAAUACCAACUACUGAUACUCUGGUUGUUCUAAGACAACUGAUUUCAACGAGUAUCAAACUGAAGAAUUUAAAUCACAGUCGUCAGUAGUGGUCAAAUAUUGGAAAUAACCUCUGGGAAUCACUUUGUAUGUGCCUGCAGGGAUAGCUGAGGAUGAAGUGCUUUGGUCUGAAGAUUAAAGCCUGGGCCUGAAAACUACAACCCUGGCACUGGGUGCAACUCAUUGUGUGUGGGCAGCACACAACUACAAUCAUGAAUCUCAGACCAAAAACAUCAAUCUCAGGCUCCCUCCAGGGAACCAGUGAAGCAAAAUCUUCAUCUGGCCACAUGGUGGGCUGUGGCAAACCUUCCUUCUGUAAUGCAGCUUGUGAAGGACACAAUCUUCACCCAGAGGCACAGCUGACAGCAAGCUCUGAGCUACAGAGGGCUAGCGAGCAUCUUGUAAUGCUAGACUUUUUGGUGAGCAUCGAGGAAAAGUAGCUGGCAGGUUACAGAGCUUCCUUCCAUUUAAUCAUCUGAUCAGUUUUCAAAUCUCUACUUGUGAAGACCUGACUUGAGAGUCUGUAGUCAUUUUGAGACAUGGGUGAACACAUGACAAAAUGACAGAUCAGCAGCUAUGGCCAAUUAUUAGGAGAGCCAGGCAAGCACCUCCCUUCUGAAUCCUUCCUUCCUGUAUGCACGGACACACACACACACACACACACACACACACACACACACACACACACACACACACACGGCAGGUACUACUAGCUGACAGUCCUUCCUCAGACCACUUCCAACCCUCUUACCAUUCUUCUUGUCCAAGAGCAGUAACUAUUGGCUUUUUUUAUUUCUGGAUUAUUUUCAUAACAAUAACCAGCAACCCAAACUUUGUGACUACUAAAUUAUCUUCCUAAAACUGAAAACCAUUCUAGUUCAAACUGUGACUUGGUUUAUCUGAUCAGCCAAUUCACCAAGUUCUGCUAGGGGGAAUGCCCUUGAGAUUACUCAAUAGGUAACACGCAGACUGCUCGGCUCCUCAGGACAGCACGCACGCUCCUUGCAGCGUCAAACAAUCAUAAGCGCACACGUGAUGCAGUUGCCUGUUUUAUUUCAUGGCACUGAUUUUGCAAACCAGAGAUCUCUGCUUUUCAUCUCACAUACAAUCUGUAACCAUUCACAGGCUGAAUGCAAUUUUUCAAAGAACUAGAAAACAAAAGGUACAUUCUUAAAAUUAGAACUGAGUUCACAUAUUUUCUUUGGACCAGGAAAUGGUACAUAAUACAAAAUAUACAUUUAUGGAAUAUCUUUAAAACUGUGGGUCACAUAAACUGCAAAGUGGAGAAUUCUGUUACAUAUUAUGUUUAAGAAAAAUAUUUCUGCAGUAAGAGUUUAAAAAACUGAAUUUAUAUCUAAUGCAACAUGCUUUUAACAUGUACAUUGCUCCACUCAAAACACUCAGAAAUGAAGUGAGCUGAUAAUAACCGAAACCACUCAGUGGCGAGCACCGUCGCUCCAGUGUCUUCCUGCACGUGUGCUGCCGAGUUAGUUACGGGCUAGCCAGGUAAAACAAUGAAUCCUGUUUCUACUCCCACAAACAAAUCAAGCCAGAACUGAACAUGAAAUUUUGGCAACAAAUAUAACAAUUAUUUUCCAAUGUAAUUAUGGUAUCUUCCUUAGCAAUCAUUAAUCUUCUCCACUGAUAUGAAAGACCUUGUUUUAAACAUUCCUUAUUAAGUACUUAAUUCCUCAGAUCUGAAAUUAAGUUAGUAUUUAAAGAAAGUCUUAGAACCUGAGUGAGAGCUGACAGCUAACGUAUAAUACACAAUGGAGGGUCAGCAGGGUGCCACAGCCCAACUCUAGUUCACUUUCCAUUGCUGAGUUUCGGGAGGGGCAAACCUCCAGGACUAGCCUAGUCACCACGCUUCCACCUUUACAAACACGGAUUCACAACACAGGACCCCAGGAAAACCACAUCAAACCAACUUUAAUACUGGAUUCCAGCCAGGUGCCCACCUGCCUCCCUACCAUUUUCAAAGUAAAACAAUUCCUGACAGAUUUUUAAUGCUCUUGGGAUAUCUGGAGCUUUGCUGGAGAGGAAAGGUUUUUCUGUGUAGCCUUAUGUUGUAACAGAGGGUCUUGACCGGGCCAGAAAACAUUCUUGGAGUUUUAUACAUUGUAUACAUUUUCCUAGGUACAGUCCCUCAGAUUCACAUCUUAAAGGUGUGAACCCCAAAAGUUUACGAAGCCCCUCAAGAACAAAUCUAUGCUAUUUCAGGUAUGGAUUCAAGAUCCAAUUCUGUUUUACAGCCACCCGAUCUUGUACACAAACUUACUUCAGACAGGACCAUACGGACACCAGUAUUAUUCAGAAGUCUUUCAGUCAGGACUACAUAAAAUGAACAAUUUUCCUAAACACUUAGCUUAAUGAGAAAGCAGUCAGUGGGAACUGGAAUUUGGAACAAUUAAGAGGCAAAUGGUUGGUUUGGAAGAAUAAGUAAUGAAUUUGUUUCUCAGUCUUAUGUUGACACCACCAAAGCAGAAAACAAACUGAGACGUCUCUGGCUGACUUCUGUGAUGCUCAGUUCUGAAACUCUGACAGCCAGGCCCAAAGGCGACCGCGCUAUAGAUGGUAGAGCUGUCAGUGAUCCUCCCUACCCUCACUACUCCACAUCCCAAGCUUUCUUGCUUUACGCUCAGUGUAACAGAGUAUAAAUUGGCCUUGAUGAGGUAAUACAUGGCCUUUCUUGUCCAACAGAAUAAAAUUGGCCUCUUUCUAUUUAAGAAGGGACACCGAGGAAAGGAAAUGGAGAUGGGGGUAUAGAUUUCAUAUUUCACAAAUCAUAAAAAGGAAAAUGGUCAUUUAUUACCUCAACUUAAACUACAUUUCCUCAUCUCAUAAACACAACUGUAAUUUGGAUACUAUCUGAGUUUUCAUCUUUUGGUGGGGUGGAAGAUUGAGAUAGGGUUCUUCUGCAUAGCCCUGGCUACCCUUGAGCUCAGAGACCAGAUUGCUUCUGUCUCCCAAGUGCUAGGCUUAAAGGUGUGCACCACCACUGCCUGGCUUAUUUUAUUUUUUGAUCACUUGUUAAGAGACACAAAAAUUAAUGGUUAGUUAGCAAAAGCCUGCUAUGCAGAAUUGAAAAUCUGAGUUUUUCUGGCACUCCACCACCCUGCUGCUUAAUUGGACAGGAAGAAAGCAGAAGUCAGUAACAGAAUACAGAGCAGACGAGAGGGAGGAAACUGCUGGGUUGACCAUAAAUGGAAGAUACUCAUUUGACAACAGAGCAGAGCCAAUGCCCAUCACAGGCAGAGCAUUCUAAUAACAAUACCAUUUAGCUAAACUACUGAUCAACACAACAAUAGAUACUAUACAUUUAGGAAACAUGUUCUUAAUUAUUUCAAGCUUAUUCUAAAAUACUAUAUAAUUUAAAAGAACUGCAAACCAAAACACACAACACAUUAUUGUAGGAUACAAAGUAAAACCAGGCUUCUAAAAUGAAAGGCUUUCAAACGCCUGAAAAAACUAGUUAGGAGACUAGUAAAUGUAAAAUAGUCAUCUCAUUACUUCAUUACCAGAAUAUGUGAGAAUAUAUAACGUUCUUGAAGGUCCCUCCAAAGAAAAGUCUCAAUGAGAAACACUUAUACACUAAAAUAUUUACAACUCUUCAAAACCAAAUUCCAUAUGGUAAAAUUAGUAAAGCCUAAAUUAGAGGUAAACCAUGAAACUAAAAGUUAAAGCAAAACAGUCUUUUUGGAAUCUACUUGUUAAAUUCCCUUGCUAAUUUGUCAGUAAGCGGGGGUCGCACGACCACUGUAAACACACCGAGAGCCCGACUGUUUCCUGUGAACACUGGUGCUGAGCUGGGAAGACCACAGUUUACCUAGAUCCCGCCUGGAUGCGGAAGGUGGGAGAACCUUAGCACAUCACUGCUGUGACACCAGGAGGAAACGUCAAGGUCUUUUCUUACGGAUCACUGUGUCCUCUUUAGAGAUGCUAAGACGUCUGUACUUCAGCACUGCAACUUACUCCCAAUGCUGAGCAUAAUUUUCUAUUGAUGGAAUUCGACUUUUGGGGAGAAGAAACUUAAACAAUCCCAGGAAAUGAAGAAAAUACCAACUAACUCUUCUGGGCCGUGACCUACUUUGCUGAAGAAAGCACUAGGGGCGGGAUGGAGGUGACACCAUGAUUUUCUCCACUUAUACCAAUGAUCUACUUAUAAGACAUACAGUAGAUUCUAAAUUCUGCUCAACGGUGAACUCCUUGAGAACAAGGACCUACUUUAUCUCCUUACGGUCCCGAAGGACUUAGCCUAGAACAGUGUUUUGGCAACACUUUACACUGUGGGAAGCUGAGCUUGGCAGGUUUAAUGUGCUCAAAUAUGGUCAUUGUAAGCAGCACUGUAAUUCAAACAAUUUCCAUCACAUAACUCAUUGUUCUUUAAUUUCUUUAAAAAACAUUUUUUUUUUCAAACAGGGUGUCACUUUGUAGCCCAGUUUAGUCUUAAACCUAUGAUCCUUCCGCUUCAUUCUCUCAAGUGCUAGGACCACAGGCGCAGCCCCCACUCUGGGCUUUCCCACUCCAAUUUCUAAUACUACAUGGCAGAAGAAGUUAGGCAGCAGGGACAGCUGCUUAGCUGCCUCAUCAAAUGAUGCACAGGAACUAAUGUCUGAGAAGCAUUCUGAAGACGAGAAAAGUGGAGAUGAGCCAGAUGUCUGUGGAGCCCUGGCUGUCCUGAAAUUCUCUAGAGACUAUAGGAUCACACUGGCCUGCACCGCCUCUGCCUCCAGAUGCUGGGAUUAAAGGUGUGUGCCACCACCGCCCAGCACAUAUGACCCCUUGUUAAAACAGUAAGAGACACGAAACUUUGAGCAGUAAGUUAGCAAAAGCCUGUUCUGCAGAACUGAAUUUCUCACUGACAUAAAAGUAUAUACUAUGCAUUAUGUUAGCAUCAUACGUGAACUUUUCCCCCCUCCAUAAAUAUUAAAAACAAAACAACCACCAAAGCCCCAAAGACCCUUCCAAAAUAUCUGAGGCAUGUGUGUCCUGAGAUGUUGAUUAUCAGGAAGGAGAAUGGGGGUGAAGAAUGAAGUGAUCCGUGCAGGCACAAGUGUCUCCUUCUCAAGUGUUGCUGGCUUCCACCACGCCAUUUCCCCAGGCAGUACGCAUACCUACUUUUAUGAUGCGUACCUUCUUCCUGUAGUUUUUUGCGAACUGUAUAGAGUAUAGUGCUGACUCACAUGGAAAGACUAGUCUUCUCAGGUCCUUACUUCAACCUGUGGUGCCAACACCACCAGAGGACUAUUCAGACUUCCUCUUCCAGGCAGGUACAGUGUGGAGACAGCUUUCCAUCACGGAAACGUCAGCUUCACACACUCAAGGUUUCCAGGAGGACCCUGGUCGCCUGUCAAAUCUCAGCGUCAGUUGUCAGCUCAGCAGCCAGUCUGUGCUAGAAGCACUGAUUUUCAUAAAAUGAACAUUUACAACUCUGCAAAGCCACAGCUUAGAACAUUACCAUACUCCCAACUCUACCACAGGUUUAGACAUGAAGCAUUUAUUGUAAGUUACGUUUAGAACUGGUUCUGUGUUUUGGCUGUUGUGAAUUCCUAAAUAUAAAGAGUACCUCAGAUGUUCUUCCUUAUUUAUGCUGGACUGCUGUGUCAAUGAAAUACAAUGAAGUUAGUUAUUCCCCUCAGAGCUAAGAGGGGCGGGCACUGAAGCAGCAGCUGGUACCGCAGCCACAGAAGUCUGCCACACCUCACAGUGCUUUCCCGCGUGUCCUCAACUUGACACUGUCUAUUACAAACAUGUCAUUUCCAAGUUUGAGGGGAAAAACAAAUAGAACAGAAUGUAUUAUACUAACUUUUAUACACAAAGCUGUGACUGUAUUUGACGUUGUAUUGAUUGUUUCCUAUUGGGGACCUGACUAUAACAAUCAAUCGCAUGGAGAUAAUAUGACACCACCUAGAGACGGAGAUACAGAAAGUACAGGACAGCAGUCUCUAUCAUGUGACAGACAGGAAGACUUACUCUUACAUGCUUACUUAGGGGGGUUAAGCCUAAAUUAAAUUAGGUUUAUAUCUACAAUUCCUUAAGCUUUAAAUUUAUUUUUAAAGGCCAACAGCUAAAUAUUAUCAACAUGCUAUAUUUCAAAUCACAAAUAUAUCUUAACCUCUUAGAUUCUAAAGACGUGGGUCAAUUAAAAGUUACAGGUAAACACACAUUCAACACACACACAUCUACCAUACUGUUAGACUGCCAAACGUUGACAAUCAUUUUAAUUAAUAGUAAGGUAAAUUCAAGCUGAUGCACAUCUUAAUGGUAAGUAAGCAGCCUGAAAGAAACCCAUUAAACAGAUUAGGAAACAGCAGACGCCAAUCUUCCAAUCCACCUGCACCUGGUUGGCAACACCAUCCUCCAAUAAAAGGAAACGGAACACCUUUCCCUAGGAGGAACAUCCCAUUUACCCCACAUGGGGUUUGAAAGCCGGGAUAAAAGAGGAAUUACGCAUACAUGAUUAAAUCUCUUGUUUGUUAAACCAAGCUUUAUUGAUAAAAUGGAAUUCGGAAUAUCUUACUAGGGACAGCAGCAGGCCCAGCCAAUCAUGAUAGGAACGAAAUGUGGCAGUCUCCCACUGAGUGGGAAGCUGCUGCUUGCCAAUUAGUAAUUAAAUGUAAGAACUCAUAAAGAGGUGCAGAGAAUCAAGGCAUGUUAGCCCAAAACUGGUAGAUGCUCUCAUGAAUACAGAGGGUCAGCUGUGACACUCUUGGCUACGAGGAGAGGACAUCCUACAGACAGGUGAGAAGGGGUGGCUGCACCAACAGGCCAGGCCCUCGCCAGGACACAGAGACGACAGUUCUCCAUACACCCUGAUGUAUAGCUUUGGGAAGUCUUCAUAAUCAUGUGCACAUGAGCAUCUAGCUAUGUGGCUGCUGCUGCUUUCCCUACCCCAAGUCCAGAUACAGCAUGACUAUGUCUGUUGUGCCACACAACAAGCCAAAUUUCCUUUAUCAUUGAUAGUGAUUUUAAAGCAGUUCAUAAUUAAAUAUGAGCACUUUGUACAAGGACAAUUACACUUUACAAAAAACCAAAAUCAUACAACAAAAAUUGCUGGAGUCUGAUUUACAACAUGAAUUACGGUUUGAAAUCACGCUUACAUAAGUCUCAAAUUUACAA